rnacentral:rRNA from 1 species
UACGAAGGGGGCUAGCGUUGUUCGAAAUUACUGGGCGUAAAGCGCACGUAGGCGGAUCUUUAAGUCAGGGGUGAAAUCCCGAGGCUCAACCUCGGAACUGUCUUUGAUACUGGGGAUAUCGAGUCCGGGAGAGGUGAGUGGAACUGCGAGUGUAGAGGUGAAAUUCGUAGAUAUUCGCAAGAACACCAGUGGCGAAGGCGAGUCUCUGGACAGUUACUGACACUGAGGCACGAAGGCCAGGGGAGCAAACGGG